GGUUAAAAAGCUCGUAGUUGGAUCUCGGCGGGCAGGGGGUGGUUCGCUCUUCAGCGCUACUGCCCCGCUUUGCCCGUGUGAUUGGCGGAGGUUUCGGGGUGCUCUUCGUUGAGUGACUCGGAGCGCCGUCAGGUUUACUUUGAAAAAAUUAGAGUGCUCAAAGCAGGCUUUUCACGCUUGAAUAUUCGUGCAUGGAAUAAUGGAAUAGGAACUCGUUUCUAUUUUGUUGGUUUUCGGAAAUCGAGUUAAUGAUUAACAGGGACAAUUGGGGGCAUUAGUAUUCAGACGACAGAGGUGAAAUUCUUGGACCGUCUGAAGACUGACUACUGCGAAAGCAUUUGCCAAGAGUGUUUUCAUUAAUCAAGAACGAAAGUUAGAGGUUCGAAGGCGAUCAGAUACCGCCCUAGUUCUAACCAUAAACGAUGCCAGCUAGCGAUCUGCCGAGUUUUUUUUGUAGGCUCCGCAGGAAGCUUUCGGGAAACCAAAGCUUUUGGGUUCCGGGGGAAGUAUGGUUGCAAAGCUGAAACUUAAAGGAAUUGACGGACGGGCACCACCAGGAGUGGAGCCUGCGGCUUAU
rnacentral:rRNA from 1 species